rnacentral:rRNA from 1 species
UACGGAGGGUGCGAGCGUUAAUCGGAAUUACUGGGCGUAAAGGGCGCGUAGGCGGCUUGCCAAGUCAGGGGUGAAAUCCUGCAGCUCAACUGUAGAAGUGCCUUUGAUACUGGCGAGCUCGAGGGAGGUAGGGGUGCGUGGAACUUCUGGUGGAGCGGUGAAAUGCGUUGAUAUCAGAAGGAACGCCGGUGGCGAAAGCGACGCACUGGAUCUCUACUGACGCUGAGGCGCGAAAGCUAGGGGAGCAAAC